GUUAAUCAAGUGCUCCUGGAACCCAUCUAUAUAUCUGUGUGUUUGUUUAUCUGUGUGCAUGGGGGUGGGGGUGGGGGAGUUGGGAUCUGGGACUGACACGUGCUUAGCAUGCUCCCUGACACUGAGCCCCUAGGCCGGAUCUGUGGCCUCUUUCAGAACACAGUUGGCUUCAGGGGAUGUUCACUGACCCGGAGGGGAGCCUGUGGAUGGUGUUUUCAUGAUCACUGUUGGCUUGUUUACACUCUCUUCCUGAGCUCUCGUGACUGUUAUUAAGGGUGGGUGAGGGCUAAGGUGUCUUUCUCUGUGAGAACCAGGUUUUUCCCCUUUGGCUGGGUUGCCAUGGGUAGGGUUUGUGGGUUUUUGGUUUCCUGUUGCCUGCACAGCCUGGGUCCCUCAGUGAUCUGCUACACUAGGUGUUGUCCUGACCAAGCUAUCUGUGUUUUCCCUAAGGAGGGCAGGCUGUGUCCAUGUUUCACCAGUACCAGCCUUAGGUUUGAGCCAAAGGAGUCCCCAGUGUGGGUCUUGUGUUUCAUGGGAUCUGGCUCAGCCUCUGCUCCAGUGACCUCUCCUUAAGGGACAGAGAUGCUGUAGUCAAGGCUCUUAUUCACCGAUGGUUGUCCUCUCCUCCUCCUAGCCCACAGGAUGAGUACCUGGACCUUUCGGUUUCUUAUCCACACAGCCUGACCUGCUUGGAGAAACCAUGUGGGCCUCCUUCCUUGGUCUACCUUCCUGGGUACCUCCAAGCCAAGGGCAACUUGGGUAGAACCUGGAAAAGCAGGUCAAAAUUUCCAAACCAGUGUGCUUAAGGGACCAUUUCAGAAUAAAUUGGGAACAGGAGGGGAGGGGGCAGGCUGUGGGAUGGCGCAGAACUCCACAAGCUUGAAAUCUGAAACUGAAAUCUGGCCUGCCAGAUUGGAGUGAAGGUACAUUUGUCAAGGUAGGCGAAUAGUACAUAUUUUACUUAACACUUUGUCAAUUUAAUUUCUAACAUUUAAUAUUUAUGCAUACGGUGCGUGGGUCCCUAUGUCUGUUCUUGCCCUGGGUUUUGCAACUGUCAGAGGCGGGCCUGGGGCUAAGGAUGUAUCUCAGUGAUAGUAUGCUUGUAUAACACAUAGGGUACACUAAGUUCAACCCUUAGUACAGAAGUGGGAAAGAGAAUAAAGUAUUUUCGUAUUCGUUCUGGGGGCUGGGCUUGUAGUUCAGUUGGUAGAGUGCUUGCCUACCUAGAGCUGGAAGCCUGAUGCCCCAAAGCCCCGAGUUUGAUUCCCCAACACUGUAUAAACUGGCUGUGGUGGUGCACACCUGUAAUUCUAUCACUUGGCAGGUAGAGGCAGGAGUUCACAGUCACCCUUGGCCAGCAUGGCUAUAAAAGACCCUUUCUGAAAAAUAAAAAUGGGGAGGACUGGAGAGAUGGCCUGAAGGAUAGGAGUGCUAGCUCCAUUCCCAGCACCCAUGCUGGAUGACCCACAGAUGCAUAGUGCUAGCUCCAGGGGAUCCAACACCCUCUUCCGGACUCCAAGGGCCCCUGCACUGUCAUGUACUCCCCCCAGCCCCCCCUGUAAAUACACAUAGAGAAAAAGCAAAUACAAUCUUUAAGAGAAAUAUUUAAACCUAAGUAACACAAGUGCCCCUGCCUGUUAAAAUAGAAAGAAAGCCUGCUUGUUCUCAUUGGCCUUCAACAGUUACACCCGCCUCUUUAAAACAGGAAAAGAUAAAGCCAGACCCUAUGACCAGGCGGACAAGUUACACCAUGUCCAGAUCGUGGCAAGUCUGGCACCCUCUUUCCUUUUCCUCCCUCUUCGUCCUCUUCUUGAGACAGGUCUCACUCUGUGGACACAAGUUCUGCCUCUGCCUCCAGGGCGGUGGGGUUGAAAGUGUGCACUACUACACCUGGUUUGUAACUUAGAAAAAAGCAGUCAGCCUGAUUUAAGGUAUUGUGGGACAAAAACCAACAGAGUAAAGUAGGGGAGGAGUGAAGGGCUGGUAGCAUCAGGCUCGCCAUACCUGCUACCACUUUCACACUCUUCCUAGUCCCUCUGGUGCCCCUACUGUUCCUCCAACAUGCUGAGCACUGUGUGUGUGUGUGUGUGUGUGUGUGUAGGGAACCCACGGCUGCACAUUCGUGCCAGGCAAGCACUCUGCCAGUCAGUCAGGGUCAGCUGCAUCCUCAGCCCUGCUGGAGCAUCUUGAUGGAGCAUCUUGAUGGAGCAUCUUUUCUUCCUCAUCCAGAGCCCUCCUUUUCAGGGUUUCUCUAUGUAGCCCUGGCUGUCCUGGAACUCUCUACGUAGACCAGGCUGGCUUUGAACUCACUGAGAUCCACCUGCCUCUGCCUCCCAAGUCCUGGGAUUAAAGUUUUCUGUCUGCAUGUAUCCCUGCAAUCCAGAAGAGGGCACCAGAUCUCAUUACAGAUGGUUGGGAGCCACCAUGUGGUUGCUGGGAAUUGAACUCAGGACCUCUGGAAGAAUGGGCAAUGCUCUUAACCCCUGAGCCAUCUCUCCAGCCCCUGUUAUUAUUUUUUUACAAAUCAGGUCAGUCACAGGUUCUGGGUUUGACGUGGACAUAUUUUUUUCCAGACUCUCACUUAAUCCCGCAGAUCUCUCAAUCUGAGUUCCACUGUCUUCUAGUUCCACUUGUUUCCCCCGCAGCAGAGGGGAAGGGGGCUUUCCCCCCUUCUUCCUUUUGUCUCCUCCAGACUUCAACUUUUGGGGGUCUUUCCAGGAGCCUCUGUGAGCUGAGACAGCUGAGUGAAUACCUGCCUAUAGAGGUCACCCCUCAACCUCUCCACCUCUACAAGCUGGAGUUCCCUGGGGCCCAGGCACCUUCUUGACCUGGGAUCUUCCAGGACGGCUGGACAUUCACACCCCGCCCCAACCCUGCAGUCAUCAGAUCAUUCUUGGCUUUUGGGCAUCUCAACUGGAGAUGCAGGCCUGCCCUCCCCUGCCCUGCUCUGUCCUUUCCACCCCUCCCCUCCCCUCUCCCCUCCCCUCUCCUUCUUUGUCCUGCACUGCAAGUUUCCCAGCUCCUCAACCUCCCUUUCAUGAACUAACUGCUAGGCUGGAAACCUGGGUACUUGGUUCUCACUGUUGAUGUGGGAGGGAGGGAGGAGGGUGACCCCCAGAGGACAUUUAGCAAAGUCUAGAGACACUUUUUAUUGUCAUAACUGAGUGACGGAAGUCUGCAUUAUUACUCUUUAGUGAGUGAAGGCUAGGGAUGUUGCUAAACAGCCCAUUAUGAACACGAUAACCCUAGAAUAAAGGAGUCCCUUGAUGAAGAUGACAACAGUGUGGUGGCUGAGUGACUCCGCUCUACCUCCAUGCCGCUCCUAAACUUCAGGAUGAAGACCCAAUUCUCAAGAAACUUCUCCCCAAGCUCUGCCUCUCCAGGGGCAGCGGUUCUGGGUUCUGGUGACAUUCUGCCAGGGAGCAUCCUGGCAUGGUGGCGAAGGGGGAAGUAGAGGGGGCUAAAGAGGAGCCUGCUUUGUCAUCAUCCCCUCCCAGGGAACUCGGCGGCUCUCAUUGGCUUGUGGGGGUUAAUGAAGGACCAGCUUGGGCUCUUAGGGAGUCUUGGCAAGGGUCCUUAUCUACCCAUCUCACUGGGAAGUUCCAGUCAGAGUUGAGAGGAAGCAUACCCGCCAGUCAACACCAGAGAUCCCUUACUUGUCUGAGUCCAUUCUCCUCUGGGUGUGAAAACUCGGCUGAGGCAGAAGCUCUUUCAGUUUGUUCACCUGUGUCCCAGGUACCUCAACAUAAUUACUCUGUUGCAAAACAAUGACAUUCUGUUGACAGUGAAUGAAGAGUCUGCCUUCUUUAGAGAACAGGUGGAUUUGCAGCUGGCAAGGAUACCGGCUGGGGAUGUGACUCGGUUGGUUAGGUGCUUGCUUGGCACACACAAGACUCUGCAUUUAAUCCCAAGCUCUGCAUAAACCAGGUGUAGGGGCGAAGGCCUGAAACUUCAGCACUCAGAAGUGAAUGUAAGAGGACAAGAGUUCAAGCACACCCUCUGCUACAUACAGAGUUUGAGGCCAGGCCAGGAUACAGCAUCUUAAAAAUGUACCUGUGAUUUUUUUUUUCAAGGUCUUUGCUAUAUUUCUCAUUUUUUUCCCCCAGGAUAACAUAGAUGGCCUUGAACUUGGGAAUCUGUCUGCCUUAGUUUGCUAAGUAGCUGGGAUUUCAGGUGGACAACACACCAUGGUUUUUGUUUCUUCUAUCAAGCUGAGGAUCAAAGGCAGGUGCGCUCUGCCACCAAGCGACAUCCUGACCCCCAUCUGUAAUCCUUUCAAAGAAAGAAAAGAGUUUGCUUGGAUCAAAGAGCAAAAAUGAAUUUUGUCAAGUGGAUGUGCAGGAGGCGCUCCUCUACACUACGGGGAGAAGAGUUGGCAAGAAGAAAGGACCUUGGAACGAGAGCCUGUACAGUUGGUGACUGGCCUAUGGUGGUGCACCCAUUCACAUGUGUGGGCAUUCUCACACACAGACAUACAGACAGACAUGUGGAAGUGUGCCCCCCCAAUCAAUGGGCAUGUGGGAGCCACUAGUGAGAAAGAGCCCAUCUCACACUGGUGCAGGAUAGGAGGCCUAGGCUGUCUCUCCUUUCACAUACCAAAUGCCCCCAGGUAACAGCCACACAAGGGUAGUUAGUUGUAUUGCCGCUGGGAGUCCUGUGUGGGACACUUAGGAAAUAAAGAUUAAUGAAACUGGCAAGAGUCCUCAAUCCAACCCAAGCACAUGGCUGAAGUGCCUGCCACGAGCACCCACCAGAAGCUUUGCUAGUUGCAGGCUGAAGCUCUAGCUAAAGCAAGGCACUACACAAUGCAACUGGGGUAUUGACCAGUUUCUCCUGGCCGGUCUUUCAAAGAGAGGCUGGG
rnacentral:lncRNA from 1 species